rnacentral:lncRNA from 1 species
UCUUGAUUCAUAUUCAUGAGGAUUAUUGGUGCAUGGAAUUCAUUUCAUAAUACGUUUCUGUUGCUUUGCUAUCAGAGUUAUUAUGGCACCAUAAAAUUUUAUAAGCUAUUCCUGAUUUACCUGUCAUCUCAGUACUUACAUGUUGGUUUUUCUCCUCCAUCUGCUCAAAUUCACUGAGCCCUGGAACACCAUCCCAGAACGCUGCAUUGGAACACUGCUUAGGAACGCUGCACUGGAACACCACCCGGGAACGCUGCACUGAAACACUGCUCAGGAAUGCUGCACUGGAACACCACUCAGGAAUGCUGCACUGGAACACCACUCAGGAAUGCUGCACUGGAACACCACUCAGGAAUGCUGCACUGGAACACUGCUCAGGAACGCUGCACUGGAACACCAUCCAGAAUGCUGCACUGGAACAGUGCUCUGGAACACUGCACUGGAACAGCACUCUGGAACGCUGCACUGGAACACAGCUCAGGAAUGCUGCCCUGGAACAGCACUCCGGAAUGCUGCUCUGGAACAUUGCUCUGGAGCACCACACACACCAGUGAUCCUUUGGACCACCUAUCAGUUUUUAAGCUAUGGUUUUUUUUUGGAGUCAAUUGUCUGUUAUAAGCUUUACUUUUA